rnacentral:lncRNA from 1 species
CACCUUAAGUCGGGCAAGCUGGCGGUCGAUCUUUUUUAACUUGCAUUCGUAGUCAUUAAGCCAUCGUUGCUGGGACAAUCCGAGGGUAGAAUCUUUCGAAGAAUUUGAGGAUGGAGAAGCAGAAGGUGUACGCGAUCUUUUUCCCUUCUUGAUACUAUGUACACGGGAAGGAGAGGAAGAAUGUCACGAAGAAUGGGUGGC